AUGGCGAUCUUUGCAGUUUGCGGGAAUGUGGCAUUCUUUUCGAUCGGGAUGGGACCGAUAUGCUGGGUGUUAUCUUCAGAGAUAUUUCCUAUAAGAUUGCGAGCUCAGGCAUCAGCACUUGGUCAAGUAGGUGGCAGAGUGGGCAGUGGCUUGGUUUCCAUGUCGUUCCUCUCCAUGGCCCGUGCUAUAUCCGUGGGGGGAAUGUUCUUCGUCUUUGCAGCGAUCUCGACCGUCUCCAUUGUGUUUGUGUACUUCUGCGUGCCAGAAACUAAAGGGAAAACUCUGGAGCAGAUUGAGAUCAUGUUUGAAGGUGGCAAGGAAUGGAAAGGAGGUGGCGAGGUCGAGCUUGAAGAUACACAGCAUUUAAUUCAGGGUGACAAGAAAGCUUUCUCUCUAGGUUGA
rnacentral:rRNA from 1 species